rnacentral:lncRNA from 1 species
CAUCAGCACAGCCUUGCACUAGCCCUGCACCUAUUCAAAAAAGAAGUAAAAAAGCACAUCCUGUAUCACCCCCAUCCGCAUGACCCUGCAUCGCCCUCGUCCACCCCCACGUGCAUGGGAGAAGUGGAUCAAACCCGUCCUAGCCCUCGUGCACACCGGAUUUGCCCCCUCUCUCGACCUCGUCGGCCCACCAGCACCUUCGCCCUGCCACUAGUUCACGCCCAAGGCCUGACCCCAGCUCACCACCCUGCCUUUGUCGC